rnacentral:misc_RNA from 1 species
UAAUAAGUGUUCUACUACACUUUUUAAACAAGUACUCACCUUGUGUGCAAUGUUUGCUGUCGUGUUCGUUUAGGCGGAUCGCGUCAGCAUAUAAUACCAACCUUUUAUUGAAACGUUUUUGUCUGAAGAUAUUUUGAAUAAAUAAUUCUAAAUA